UACGUAGGGUGCGAGCGUUAAUCGGAAUUACUGGGCGUAAAGCGUGCGCAGGCGGUUCGUUGUGUCGGCGGUGAAAGCCCCGGGCUUAACCUGGGAAUGGCCGUUGAAACUGGCGAACUGGAGUGUGGCAGAGGGGGGUGGAAUUCCGCGUGUAGCAGUGAAAUGCAUAGAGAUGCGGAGGAACACCGAUGGCGAAGGCAGCCCCCUGGGCUAACACUGACGCUCAGGCACGAAAGCGUGGGGAGCAAACAGG
rnacentral:rRNA from 1 species